rnacentral:lncRNA from 1 species
AUUUAAUGUUACUAGAAAUGUGUGAUUAAGGAUAAUUUGGACUUUCCUUCCCAACAAAUAUAUCUGCUUAGACCGCUUCUCUUCAGUUCAUCUUUCUCAAUACGAUGGCGGCCACAACUUGCUGUGAUGAUAUAACGAUAUUUCUUUCACUAAUAUUACUUCUUCUGCCUUCGACGCUCGCGAUCUCUUCUGGGUACUACUUUUCUUCAUAUGUACAUCGAUUAUCUCUGUACUUUGUAAAUCGGACCCCCCUUUAAUUUCUAAUAUUGGUGCUUCUGGGUGGGUUUUUUUUCCUUGUUGUAGGGAUAUUGAGGGGUAUAGCAUCAAUGGUAAAGUAAAACUUCCAGGUGGGUUUUUCUUUUGUUAUUUGAGCAAUACCAUUUUUCAUUUGUAUUUUUACAAGUACCUAGACACUUUGAAUGCUUUUGUUUGAUGUUGGCUUCUACUAUAUGUUCUUGUAAACUUUGACGGUACGGCUAUUCAAGAAACUAAAUUAUCGGUAGGGUAAACUAGAUCAAUUAAAUUGAUAGGCAUUAUUUUAUUGAGUUUUAGAUUUGAGGAAAUUUUGCCUAAACGCAUAAUCUGAACGUUCUGAGAUAAAAUGUGGUGUAAGAAAAUAUAUUAUCAUCAAUGAUAUUGAUGCGGACACAUAAAGAGUUUUAUGUAGAGAUCAGGUUUAUCACCGUCACUUGUUUUGACUCUUUGAUCUUGUAGUAGUCGAAUAUUACUAAGUUAGAUUGCCAGAUCGAAGUUGAAUCAUCUUUUGAAAUCAAAGAUCUAUAAACAUUUCGUCCUUGGAAUCUAAAUUGCUUAGGAUUUCUUUCACAAUAUGUCAAUUUUUACUUUUCAGUUACUGAGAAGUGGCAAUUCGUUAAUGAGAUAGGCAGGUUUGGAACAAUAUUGACCAUUUGAAGGUUCAGAGGUGAGAAUAAAUUGGAUGUUCAGUGGUGGAGCCACUAAGGGCUGAGUGGGUGAAAUUGCCCCCAUUGGGUAUUGAAGAAAAUAUUGAUUAGUGGCUUAAUUUGGUCAACGGUGGUAGUUAUAAUGACCAAACCUUUGUGCCCAAGCAUUAUAUCAUACGUAUUGACCGCUUUGAUAGAUCAUCUACCUUAAGGGAAACUUAAGUUGAAUAUUGGUACCAAUUGAGCACUUGUGUACAGAGACUUGGUCGUUAUAUUAGAAAUAUGGAGUAGGUGGACUGGUAUGUAUUUUUUUGUGUGAGUGUGCUUCUCAUCCCACUUUUAUUAAUUUUUGAAUAAUGAUAGUAUAUGGAGUUCAUUUAUAAAUAAAAGUAAGUUUCUGGGGAAAAAGACUGAAAUUUGGAGCUAUUUUUUAUUUUCUUUCAAAACUUGCUACCAAAAAUGUUUUAAGUUCUCUAUUUUUACCUCUCCACUUAAUCAACAACAAUGUUUCUCCAUUUUAUUGAGCUUUGUCUCACUAUAUUUGUAAAUACAGCAGUAAUGUUUUCUCAUAUUUGAGAAAAUUUCUCCUGGACAGAGACUAUGCUGCUCUUCUUAUAGGAGCAACCAAACUACCAUCUGACAAUUGUAGAAUAUUCCUCUACUCUGUUACAUUCCUGGCUCCCCCCGGUGGAUAUGGGUUGUGUAGUAUUCUUGCUUUUGGAGACAAGUAUUAUCUGUUUUUUCACAUGUAGACAAGGUUAUAUAUGUAUAUUAGUCUCAAGAGAACAUUGGUAUUAGCCAUCAUGCUUCCAACCAAAUCUUUGGGAGCUAUUGUACAAGUAGGUUACUAUUCCUACUGCUCCAGUGGUAAUGUCCAUGUUACCAGGACAUGAUUCUGCAUGGUCUUGCAAUACUAAAUUACUUAUAAAUAUGGCGAAGUAUGUAUCUUGUCUCUUGCAAGAGUUGUCUAUUUUCAUGUUUGUAAUGCUCCCAUCUUUUGUAUUUCAUCUUACUGACUGACUUUCUGUGUACAUGUUCUGUUCUGAUAGGAUUUAGCAUAUCAGGAUAUGGUCAUCCAGAAAAAGUAUCAAAUGUCAAAGUCAUACUUAAUGGUGGCCAGAGAGUUACCUUUUUAAGGCCUGAUGGAUAUUUUUCUUUGUAUCCUACCAUCUUUGUCACUAUGCACUGAUUUACUUUUGGGUAGGGAUGGCGAUGGGCCGAGCCAGCGCCAUUUGGGUGUUGGUCUGUGGUUCUGUUGCAUAUCUUGAUAUCGAGUGUUAUGUUUUGCUAUUUUCCUACUUUUUACUGCAUCACAUUAUUGCAAGCUUGUGAAUGGAGACCUGAACUGGUACUGUGUUAUGCGUGGAACUAGUAUUCUUAUUGUUAUAAUUCUGAAAGCACACUUGGUGAUGCAAUAUUAUAGAGAUAAAUUAUUUAUUUAGUUUCCUAUUUUGAUUCGUAUUUCAGGAAACAUGAUUAGAAUGUGAUUUAAUUAACUUUUAUGGCAUUUCUUUACUUAUUUAUGAUUUUUGAAACCCUAUAUAAAGGGGAUUAUGGAGAUGUAAUAGAACAACUUGAUUGUAUGAAAUAAACUAUUUCUUCCCCAAUUUCUCUAUCCUCUCCUCCUCCUUCUCUCUUUUCUCCCCUAUUCCCUUCUCCUACAAAUGUUCCAUUACAUCCAGCGUCCCUUGGAUUUGAAUUAUGAAAUUUAGCGUAGUUCUUUAACCAUUAUGCCUCAAGCCAUAAUGUGCCAGCAGGGACUCAUCUUAUUGAAGUAGCUGCAAUUGGCUAUUUCUUUUCUCCGGUGAGCAUCUCCCAUUUCCCGUAUUAUUCUUGUUAUUGAACUAAUUUAGUAAUCAAUCAAACAUUACAUAUAUAAUCCCGGUCUCUUCUAUCGGCUGCCAGGUACGCAUAGAUGUCAGUGCUAGAAACCCUGGUAAAGUUCAGGCAGCUUUGACAGAGAACAGGAGAGUAUUGAGUGAGCUUGUUUUGGAGCCUUUGAGGGAGGAACAGUAUUACGAGGUUAGAUUACCCUUUAUCGUGAUUGAUACCUCCUGUUCUUUGUAUAGGUCAUUAGUGAUUCUCAAAAUUACGUCUGCUUUUUUUUUCUUUUCUUUUUCAAUUUCCAAUUUACUCUUUUGCAGAUAAGAGAACCAUUCUCCGUAAUGUCUAUCGUGAAGAGCCCAAUGGGUCUGAUGGUCGGAUUUAUGGCUAUUGUGGUGUUUUUAAUGCCCAAACUAGUUGGUAAGAGUUACAGCACUGAAGCCUUGGACUCAUCCAUCUCGCUUUUGAUUGAUUUGGAUUAUCUUUGGCAUUUCUAAAUCCGAGCCCAGUUGAACUGAUAUGUUAAUAUGGUCCCAUUAUAAUGCGCUUCUGGUUUUCUUAUGUGACAUAGAUGCUGAAGAAAUGAAACGAGCUCAAGAGGAAAUGAGAAACCAAGGUGUUGCUGUUCCCUCUCUCACAAACUUUUUGGCUGGAGCAACACAGAGGCCUAGUUAGAAAUUAGAUAUCGGUUUGUACCCAGAACUCGGAAAAUACAUUUUGUCCUGGAACUGUUUAACAGGGCCCUUUUACUAAAACUCUUAAGCAUAGGUUCUUAUUUUGAUUAUCAAUGAGCUCUCUUCAACUCAUACUAUCUGUUGUAUUGUUGAAUUCCUCCUGGUGGUGGAAGUGCGAUUUCAAUUCCAUUAGGAUGGAUAAUAUUUGAAUUUCAUUUUCAGUAAAAUCUCAAUUAACUGCCUGUUUGGGAGUAUUUUUUUAUUCAAAAAAUUGAUUUUUUGACUGUUAUUUAACUAUUUCAAUCGUUAUAUUUGACUUCUUCUCUCACAGAUAGGCCGCACUCUUCUCUUAACGAUCAAAAAAUUAAUUUUCAAAAUCACUCACAAACAGGUUCUAAGUCAUUAAAUUUUACUCUUAUCUCAAUUGAAUCACUAAAUUACAAUUUAAUUUCAAAUGGAUCACUAAACUCCAGGUAAAUAAAGCAAUCAGCUUGGGAGAUGAGUGGGAGGGAAUGUGACUUAGUUUUGAAAUUUAGUAGUUUUUUGAUAGAUUCUUUUUUGGAAAUAACGAGUUUUUGAAUAAUAAAUUUUUAGAGAAUGUAUGAUUAAAAAUUAAGGGAAAUGUUUUUGUUUACG